UCUCUUUUUUCUUCUUAAGACUGAACUUAAGAAAAAAAUUCCACUUAAGAAGAUUUUUCUUCUUAAGAAUGUUUUGUGAUCCGGCCCCAGGUGCUAAAUGAUGGUCAACUACACAGUAAAUAUGAUUUAACCCACCACCUAACUCAUUAACGUGAUUGCGUCCUCCGGGCCAGCUGGCGGCGCUGGCGCACCGGACGCUCGUUUGCAAUCAACCAAUGAGUGAAGAAGCGCUAACCUCGUGGUCAGCGCUUAAAAGCGGGGAGAGGGAGCUGAGCAGCAGUUCCCAGGUGAAGACCGAAGACCCAGCAGGAGCGGGAGCUGCAGAUGAUCGUCAGAUGAGAAACAUGGAGGGUCCCGGGGACCCACGUGGACCCACACGGCCCUCUGGUCCCAGGACUCGACCACAUGGUCCACUAAGCUGCUUCCCAGACCGGUGAGUCGGUGCUGACGGACCGAGGACCAGCCGGGUUUCUAGUGCAGAACCAGACUGUAGCUGUUUUGAUGGAGCAGAACCGUGACUGAGGGUGAACCCCUCAUGGCCGUGAACAGGAGUGUUUCUGCAGGGACAUGAGGUGCUGCAGAUGUCGUGACAUCACAGCCUGACCAGGUGUCUCCCCCCACGGGUCAGCUCCUGUGCUGCUCUGAGGACAUCCCACCAUCACACAGGUGAGCUGCACCUUUUGUGACAUCCUCCCCCUGGAGCGACCCUGGACCUCCUAAUGAAUCCAAAGCGGCCCUCUGGUCCCAGGACUCGACCACAUGGUCCACUAAGCUGCUUCCCAGACCGGUGAGUCGGUGCUGACGGACCGAGGACCAGCCGGGUUUCUAGUGCAGCUACAGAACCAGACUGCAGCUGUUUCCAUGGACCAGAACUGACUGAGGGUGAACAGGAGUGUUUCUGCAGGGACAUGAGGUGUUGCAGACCUCGUGACAUCACAGCCUGACCAGGUGUCUCCCCCUACGGGUCAGAUCCUGUGAUGCUCUGAGGACAUCCCACCAUCACACAGGUGAGCUGCACCUUGUGACAUCCUCCCCCUGGAGCGACCCUGGACCUCCUGAUGAAUCCAAAUCACCACAACAAAUUCUGUGCGUUAAACUACUUGGCAAUAAAUCCUUGAUGAGUCUACCAACACAACCACAUUGUCAUUGCACAUUUCCUGUUUGAAAAUGUUCACUCGUCUGUUUCAGAAUAAAUUGAAAU